rnacentral:lncRNA from 1 species
UUUAUAUGCCAACUUAUGUAUGAGUCACAAACCAUUCAAAAUAGAAAUUCUAAAAAUUAAAACAUAUUUCCCAUGAAUUUGCAAAAAAACCAAUACUUAAAUUAUGGUUUAUAAGAACAUAUCUUAGGGGCAAGAGAUGGCUCAGUGGGUAAGAAUACUUGUUCUUAUAGAAGACUUAGGUUUGAUUACCAGCACCCACGUGGCAGGUCACAACCGUCUGUAACUUUAGUUUUAAAGAAUCUACUACCCUUUUCUGACCUCUGUGGGCAGUAAACAUGUACAUGGUGUACAGACAUACAUACAAAAACACUCAGAUACAGUAUUUCAAAAAGAACGUAAGUUAGCUGGGUGUGGUGGCACACACAUUUGACACCAUCACUUGGGAAGAAAAGGCAAAAGAAUCUCUGUGAGUUUGAAGCCAGCCUAGUCUACAAAGCAAGUUCUAGGCCAGCCAGGCAAUUUAGUGAGUCCUAUUUCAAACAAAAACAUAUGUUAUUAUGUAUAACUCACCUUUAUGAACUGCUCGUGUAUCUGUUUGAUUGCUUUCAUUCUCUGGCUCUGAACAAUUCUAGACUGCUGAAAAAUCUUUUGUUGUUGUCGAAAAAGAUUCUAUAAACAUUAAAAAAAAAACGUAAUAAUAAUUUGGUAAAAGUAGUUUUGUCAUUGUGGGCUUCAUUCAUGGUAGGCAAACACCUAGCUCUGAGCUCUAUUGCAGUCAUUUUUAAAUUCAACAAAAAGUAAUUCCAUAUUAAAUUUAAAUGUACAGUUUAAGGUUAAUAACUAGUAUUUUAACAAGUAUUAUGACUAAGUUUAUACACACACACAUACUAUAUAUAUAUAUAUAUAUAUAUAUAUAUAUAAAUAAAUAUAAACAAACUCAAUUUAGGUAUUCAUCACUCAUGUCCAAAGUAGAGGAAACUGAAACAUAACAGUAAAUUACCUAUUGUUUCACAGCUAACUAUUGUUCAAGCAGAAUUUGAUUCCAAGUAUGUUUCUAUAAUCCAGGCUCUCAGCGCUGUACAUAUGGUUUCUCUAGUAUAUUGUAUAUUCAACCAAUGCCUGCCUCUGGCUAACUCUUUAGUACUAUAGUAUAGUUCAAUCUUAGUUCAGGACUAAAAACUGCAUUCUUCCUUCUACUGCGAUUCCCACAUUAAUUUGCAUAACACUCCUCUGCAUAUACACUUGUUCACCUUCUGUCACAUUUACUUAGCUAAAUCCCUAUCUUGUUAAACUCAACUCUACUCUACAUGGUGGUAUUCUCUUCACUACAUGAUGAUCCUACUAAGCCAAACAGAAUCCAAAGAGAAGAGUUUUUUAUUAUCAUAUAUAUCUACCACCCAUCUACAUCUAUUUGUAUUCGUACUCAUAUACUCUAUUUCCUCUUGUUUCUAAGGAUAACUAUACUCAGUCCAACUUUCUGUCUUUUCCAUUCUCAAGAAUUUAGCAAUUUUCCCCUUCUGUUACUAUUAAAUUUCUCUCUGUAGCCAAACCUGGAGCUGCAGGCCUAUAAUCCUUAGCUUCUUUCAAGGUGGAGAAAGGAGGUCACAAGUUGAAAUCCUAUCUAGUACAGGACUAGUCUUGGUAUCUUGAGUUCUUGUCUCAAAAUGGAAAGUAAAAAAGGAGGGCUGAGGACAUAGUGUAGUGGUAGAAUAGUUUUGCAGGCCUAGGUUUAAUCUGCAAUACCAGAAAUAAAUUUUUCUUAAUUCCUAUCAGCACAUAAACAUGCACUCGGGAGGCAAAGGCAGGUGAAGCUCUCUGAGUUCAAGAUCAGCCAGGACUACAAAGUGAGACCCUUUCUCUAAACAGACUGAGUGGGGUUACCUUCCAUCAUCAGUAGAGAUAGAGUAAUAAUAAAAUCUGCAUAUUCUGGAUGAGAGCUAUAGCUCAGUGAUAGCAUGUUUUAGUAGGCUGUACAAAGCAUCUAGAUUCAGUCCCUAGCACUUGGGGGUUGGGGGGUAGGGGGGGGCAGUAUUGGUGGUGGAAGGGAGCGAGGACAAACAAGCCAGCCAUGUUGUAUCUACAGUGAUUGGCUAGGAAUGAGCAAAUAUUCCAAACUAGAUUAAUGAUGUUCCACCACAUGAAUUUCCUGUCAGAGAUAUUCAGAAAGAUCAUCUCAGUCUCUGCAGUCACUAAAUUUGUAGUAAGUCUAGGACUGGGAGAAUUAACUUAGUACAUUUAAAGUUCAUGGAGUCUUAGCAGCAGAGCCCAGAUGACACUAUAAUAAGCUAACCUUUCCUACCCCCAUUCAACUGCAUUAUGUCUAAAGCUACUUAAUCUCCAAAUUCUUUUAUAUAAACUAGUAAUAGACUCUCCAGGGGCUGGAGGGAUGGCUCAGUGGUUAAGAGAACUCACUGCUCUUUGGAAGGUCCUGAGUUCAAAUCCCAGCAACUACAUGGUGGCUCACAACCAUCUGUAAUGAGACCUGAUACCCUCUUCUGGUGUGUCUGAAAACAGCUACAGUGUACUUAUAUAUAACAAUAAAUAAAUCUUAAAAAAAAACAACUAAUAAUUCUCUUAUCCACUGACAAGUUUCUGUUACUUAAAAUUGCAAAGAUAUCAGUUGAUAUCCUUAAGACCAAUGCUUUUAAGGAUUUUAAUAUUGUAUGUACCUAUACUUCUGGGGUUUACCAUUUGGCAAUAUUAAAACAUGUACCUGACAAUGAGUAAUAAAACUUGUCUCAGUUCUAAGGACAUAAUGUAAGACUAGGUUCUUUACUUCUACUUGAGGCUUAGAUAUAAUAGAGUAAUUAUAAAGUCAAUUGUGAUACUAACAGAUAGUUUUUCUCCUUGUUCCUCAAAUUUCUGUAUAUCCAGUUCCCACUGCUGCAACACAUUCAUAAAUUGCUGAGAAUAUUCAUUGUUAAGCUUCUGUCUGUUAAAAAUAAAAACAAAAAACAGUG